CCUACGGGAGGCAGCAGUGAGGAAUAUUGGUCAAUGGGCGUAAGCCUGAACCAGCCAAGCCGCGUGAGGGAUGAAGGUUCUAUGGAUCGUAAACUUCUUUUAUGAGGGAAUGAAGUGUGGGACGUGUCCUAUUUUGUCUGUACCUUAUGAAUUAGGAUCGGCUAACUCCGUGCCAGCAGCCGCGGUAAUACGGAGGAUCCGAGCGUUAUCCGGAUUUAUUGGGUUUAAAGGGUGCGUAGGCGGCCUUGUAAGUCAGCGGUGAAAGUCUGUGGCUCAACCAUAGAAUUGCCGUUGAAACUGGGGGGUUUGAGGAUGUUGGAGGCAGGCGGAAUGCGUGGUGUAGCGGUGAAAUGCUUAGAUAUAACGAAGAACCCCGAUUGCGAAGGCAGCCUGCCAAGCCAUGACUGACGCUGAUGCACGAAAGCGUGGGGAUCAAACAGGAUUAGAUACCCCUGUAGUC
rnacentral:rRNA from 1 species